GGAACGCAGCUGCUCACCAGCAACGGAACAAAGCUGGACGGAGAAUGACUUUGAAGAGCUGAGAGAAGGCUUCAGACGAUCAAAUUACUCUGAGCUACGGGAGGACAUUCAAACCAAAGGCAAAGAAGUUGAAAACUUUGAAAAAAAUAAAUGUACAUUAAUUAACGUGGAAUCUGGUGAACAGUAACAAACUUUGGUGAAAUUUCAGGAACCAUAGCCAUUGAAGUGGAUGAGGGAACCUAUAUACAUGCACUCAACAAUGGUCUUUUUACCCUGGGAGCUCCACACAAAGAAGUUGAUGAGGGCCCUAGUCCUCCAGAGCAGUUUAUGGCUGUCAAAUUAUCUGAUUCCAG
rnacentral:lncRNA from 1 species